GCUAUUGACAAGCUUCCACUCAUUCCUGGAGUUCUGGAGCUCGUAGGAAUUGGAUAUACUGGCUAUUUUGCAUAUAGAAAUCUGGGCUCUAAAUCAAGCAGGGAUGCUUUGAUUGAGAAAAUCAAAGGUACAUACGAUGAUAUAAUUGGGAGCAGCUAAGACCAGAACUAGCCAUGUAACAUAUACAUUUUAAUUAUCCUUUAAUUUCCACUCCGCUGUAAUUGUUCAUCCUUUUCUCUCAAUUUACUUGCUUUCUCUAUAAUUUCAAAUAAAUAAAUAAGAUAAUAGAUCACGUUUUAAUUUUUAA